GAUGAACGCUGGCGGCGUGCCUAAUACAUGCAAGUCGAGCGAACAGAUGAGGAGCUUGCUCCUCUGACGUUAGCGGCGGACGUGUGAGUAACACGUGGAUAACCUACCUAUAAGACUGGGAUAACUUCGGGAAACCGGAGCUAAUACCGGAUAAUAUAUUGAACCGCAUGGUUCAAUAGUGAAAGACGGUUUUGCUGUCACUUAUAGAUGGAUCCGCGCCUCAUUAGCUAGUUGGUAAGGUAACGGCUUACCAAGGCAACGAUGCGUAGCCGACCUGAGAGGGUGAUCGGCCACACUGGAACUGAGACACGGUCCAGACUACUACGGGAGGCAGCAGUAGGGAAUCUUACGCAAUGGGCGAAAGCCUGACGGAGCAACGGCGCGUGAGUGAUGAAGGUCUUCGGAUCGUAAAACUCUGUUAUUAGGGAAGAACAAAUGUGUAAGUAAAUAUGCACGUCUUGACGGUAACUAAUCAGAAAGCCACGGCUAACUACGUG
rnacentral:rRNA from 1 species